rnacentral:misc_RNA from 1 species
CCAAACUUGGUCAUUUAGAGGAAGUAAAAGUCGUAACAAGGUUUCCGUAGGUGAACCUGCGGAAGGAUCAUUACGCAUUGCGGGUAGGGCUUCGGCCCCUCCCGCCCCGAUUCGUCGGGACCCCUUGUUUAUGAGCACUGUAUGUUUCCUCGGUGGGCUUGCCUGCCAAUGGGGACCUCAAAAACCUUUUGUAAUAAGCAGUAUUCGUACAAAACUAUAAAUUUAUCACAACUUUCAACAAUGGAUCUCUUGGCUCUGGCAUCGAUGAAGAACGCAGC